UGAGGAAUAUUGGUCAAUGGACGAGAGUCUGAACCAGCCAAGUAGCGUGAAGGAUGACUGCCCUAUGGGUUGUAAACUUCUUUUAUAUGGGAAUAAAGUGGUCCACGUGUGGAUUUUUGUAUGUACCAUAUGAAUAAGGAUCGGCUAACUCCGUGCCAGCAGCCGCGGUAAUACGGAGGAUCCGAGCGUUAUCCGGAUUUAUUGGGUUUAAAGGGAGCGUAGGUGGACAGUUAAGUCAGUUGUGAAAGUUUGCGGCUCAACCGUAAAAUUGCAGUUGAUACUGGCUGUCUUGAGUACAGUAGAGGUGGGCGGAAUUCGUGGUGUAGCGGUGAAAUGCUUAGAUAUCACGAAGAACUCCGAUUGCGAAGGCAGCUCACUGGACUGCAACUGACACUGAUGCUCGAAAGUGUGGGUAUCAAACAGGAUUAGAUACCCUGGUAGUCCACACGGUAAACGAUGGAUACUCGCUGUUGGCGAUAGACUGUCAGCGGCUUAGCGAAAGCGUUAAGUAUCCCACCUGGGGAGUACGCCGGCAACGGUGAAACUCAAAGGAAUUGACGGGGGCCCGCACAAGCGGAGGAACAUGUGGUUUAAUUCGAUGAUACGCGAGGAACCUUACCCGGGCUUGAAUUGCAGACGAAUUGCUUGGAAACAGGCAAGCCGCAAGGCGUCUGUGAAGGUGCUGCAUGGUUGUCGUCAGCUCGUGCCGUGAGGUGUCGGCUUAAGUGCCAUAACGAGCGCAACCCUCGUGUCCAGUUACUAGCAGGUUAUGCUGAGGACUCUGGACAGACUGCCAUCAUAAGAUGUGAGGAAGGUGGGGAUGACGUCAAAUCAGCACGGCCCUUACGUCCGGGGCUACACACGUGUUACAAUGGGGGGUACAGCAGGCAGCUACCGGGCGACCGGAUGCCAAUCCCGAAAGCCUCUCUCAGUUCGGACUGGAGUCUGCAACCCGACUCCACGAAGCUGGAUUCGCUAGUAAUCGCGCAUCAGCCACGGCGCGGUGAAUACGUUCCC
rnacentral:rRNA from 1 species